AUUGAACGCUGGCGGCAGGCCUAACACAUGCAAGUCGAACGAAGUGGCGAACGGGUGAGUAACGCGUAAUCAACCUGCCCUUCAGAGGGGGACAACAGUUGGAAACGACUGCUAACACCGCAUACUGAAGGAGGGGAUUGCGUCUGAUUAGCUAGUUGGAGGGGUAACGGUCCACCAAGGCGAUGAUCAGUAGCCGGUCUGAGAGGAUGAACGGCCACAUUGGGACUGAGACACGGCCCAGACUCCUACGGGAGGCAGCAGUGGGGAAUAUUGGACAAUGGGCGAAAGCCUGAUCCAGCCAUGCCGCGUGUGUGAAGAAGGUCUUCGGAUUGUAAAGCACUUUAAGUUGGGAGGUGUUACCAACAGAAUAAGCACCGGCUAACUUCGUGCCAGCAGCCGCGGUAAUUC
rnacentral:rRNA from 1 species